CGGAGCCACAAGUGGGGGCCAGUAUUAUUGGGCCUAAAGCGUUCGUAGCCGGUCUAGUAAAUCCUAUGUGAAAUCGUAUAGCUUAACUAUACGGCGUGCAAAGGACACUACUAGACUUGAGACCGGGAGGAGUGUGAGGUAUUUCUGGGGUAGCGGUAAAAUGCAAUAAUCCCAGAAGGACCACCUGUGGCGAAAGCGUCACACUAGAACGGGUCUGACGGUGAGGAACGAAAGCCAGGGGAGCGAACCGGAUUAGAUACCCGAGUAGUCC
rnacentral:rRNA from 1 species